rnacentral:lncRNA from 1 species
AUAGGCUUGGUAUUACUCUCGGACUCGAGGAAGAGGAGCUGAGCAACGACGACGUGAGCAGUAUCGUCCAUAAUGGGACCGUUGAUAUAGACAAUCCGUUCCUUGAGAAGUCUGGAGAAGAUGUCGUAGGAUCUCUCACCGCGGGAGGUUUGUUCGACGACCAUAGGGAUGAGACUAUUGGGGCGGAAUUUGGCGUUGAGGGAGGCGGUCCUGUUGGAGGUGCUAUCGAGGAUGGGGUUGGAGGCGAAGAGACCGGCGGAGGACGGAGGAAGGCGGACGCCAUGGAGGAGAGGUCGCUGGGAGGUAGGGAUAACGAAUUGAGGUCGUGAGGUGAGGGUUGAGCUUGAGUAGUUCAUCGUGUGAGAUCUGCUGUUGCUGCUGCUCUAUCUGCCUCUUUCUUUCUUUCUCUCUCUCUCUCUACCUCGUUCGUCUUAUCUGGUAUUGGGUGGGCAGGCUGGCAUCUAUAUAGACGCAGAGAAGAGAAGUGAACAACACGAUCGAUUGAUCGAUCGGACUGUAUAAAUGGUCAACUAAAUUUUGGGGUGGUGAUAAACUGGUCACUUAAUUUGUAGGUUAGGACAAAUUAGUAGUUUAAACUUGUAAACUAGUCGCUGAGACAUGUGGUCCUCCGUCUCUGGAGAGAACUCUACGUCUCUAGAAACUUGCAUACCAUUGGAAAGAUGAGAGGAGACUAUGAAUCCACGGGUAGCGACAUUUCCGUUUGGAAAAGGGAUGGAAUAUCUCACCCAGUUGUCCCGCCUGCUCAUCCCUUGCUUCCCUUUUUCCUUUGUCAUGAUUCUGUCUAAUAGAAUCUCAGCCAUUGUUUACUUAGUCUUGUAACCCAGUUGAUGUCAAGAUUGUUACAAGACGAUUCCUUGAAGACAGAAAUAAAUUGUUCAGCUGCUUCAAACUACGGUACUGAGUUCCUUCUUUUUAACAGGAAAUGGAAGAUGAGAAGGAGAAAUGAAUAUUUCAACCCAGGUGACAAUCCUUCAUGAACAUAUAAGCUAACACAACACAGACAGACUAGACCGACGUCAUUCGGUCGAAACCUCCUGACUCGGCUCCGACCCUCCUCCUCCUCCUGUUACCCUUCCUUGGCCACCAAAUGUACCGGUAACCAAAUCAAUUGCCUUAGGUUCGGCCACUUCGUCAAUGAGGCCGAAAUCCUUAGCCUCAUCAGGGUUCAUGUAAUUAUCCCUGUCCAUGUUCUUGGCGAUUAUAUCUAUUGGCUGCCCUGUAUGCUUUGCGUACAGCUCAUUCAGACUAUCCCAAACGCGAAUUAUAUGCUGUGUGUGGAUCCUCAUAUCCUGGGCUUGCCCUUCGUACCCUCCAGAUGGUUGAUGAAUCAUUAUUGUUGAGUUCGGAAGCGCCCUCCUCUCACCCUUUGCUCCAGCAGUUAAGAGAAGAGCACCCAUCGAUGCAGCCAAACCCAUGCAAAUUGUAUGCACUGGGGCCCUGAUGUACUGCAUCGUAUCGUAAAUUGCAAGACCUGCAUAAGAACCACAAGUGUGUCAUUUAAAAACCCAGAAAUACAAACAAGGUGGCUUUCAGGAUUAAUGGAUUAGUUAGCAGCAUCAACAUUGCCUUGCACAAAGCUGCAGCCUUCCUCUCCAUAGCAUCAGGCUGGGGAAUUUCUAUUGCCAACCUGAAUCUUUCAUGAACUAUCGCGAACUCGGACUGACCACAUCAUUAGGUCUCUAACCUGUUUAAUCAAGUCUCAACAAGUCUCCAAUAUUUUGUCUAUCUCCACACAAAAACAGGGUUCCGGUAAGUUUCUGGACUACUAAUCGCACACACUUCUCUGCUGGUUCCUAGAUUUACCUUCGAUCUUAUUUUUGUUAGUAAACUCACUCGUAUCCUGUCGAUCUCCUUCAUCGUAAUAUUCGUAACAUCCAGAUCUUCUCGCCGCAGCUAUGAUUGGUUUUCCCAACAAACUAAGGAAAGCUAUUCAGUCCAUCUACAUUCUUCCCAAACUUCCUCCUCUAUUGCAAAGUCUGAUCAAGUCACAAGAAGCAACUUUCUACAACUUCAACUACCAAGAGAUAGACAUCUGGGAUUGAACAAGGAUCUACUCAUCUAGUAUCCAAUUAUUAGAAAACUGUAUACAUGCUGAAAUCAAGGGUGCUUUAAAUGUCAAGUCUCACUAGGGGGUAGUCCUAUGUGUUCACUAUUGUGGCUGAUAAGUCUAGAUGGACCCGGGUACAUUUGAUGAAAUGCAAAUCUAGGACUAAAGAAUUGAUUGAGCAGACAAUUUAAGUCAUCGCAGGUGAUCAGGGUAAGGCAAUUCACAUGAGAGACAAUUUUGGUCAGCUCGGAAUACUCCUCUAUACCUUGUGUUGAAAUUACUGAGCAAAGGAGAAUCUGCAGUGUCUUUGACAGAUGCAGGCAAGAAAUAAUGAUGAUGACAAAAAUGUUAAAAUCUCAGACUGCAAACAACCACAAGACGACGAGGUUCUUGGUCGAGAAGAAAUAUACUUAAAAGUUAUCAGUCGUGGUAUCCAGAAGAUAGAUGAAGUGAUGGCAAGUUGGACUAUCAAGCAAUUAAGAGUGUUUUGCAGCAAUGACACUGCAGAUUUCCUAAUACCACAACACCAGGCAGAGUUUGAACCACCAAUUGAAGCCCAUCUAGCUGAUUGACUAGACCCCCUAUAUGAAUUUGUGAACUCCUCCACUUCUUGAACACCUAAAUUCCCCCUUGCAUGCAUCAAUCCCUCAAACCUAAAUCCCCUCUUGCAAGGAACAAAUGAAAUUAACAAUACCAAAUAGACUUGGCAAAGUGAUAGGAGGAAAAAUCAAGCCCAUAGCCCUACUAAACUAUGAGCACUAAGAGCAAUCAGGUAACGGCAGGACCAGGACAUAAAAUAGAAGAAACCAAGCAAAACAAGGGAAGAAGAUUAACCUUAGCGGAGUGAAGGAGAAAAGGGAAAGUGAGGGAGAGAGAACCUGAAGUGACAGAGCCACCGGGAGAGUUGAGGUACAUGUAGAUAGGCUUGGUGGAACUCUCGGACUCGAGAAAGAGGAGCUGUGCAACGAUUACAUGAGCGGUGCUAUCAUCAAUGCCACCAUUAAUACAGAUGAUGCGGUCUUUGAGAAGCCUGGAGAAGAUGUCGUAGGAUCUCUCACCGCGGGAGGUUUGCUCUACAACCAUAGGGAUGACGCUGUAGGAGGGACGGAACUUGGCGUUGAGGGAGGCGGACCUGCCGGAAUUGAGACGGAGGAUAGAGCUGGAAUUGAGGGAUCUGGCGUCGACGAAAUUGGGAGGAGGAAAGCGAAGGGCGGA